GAACCAGUUCAUGUCAGUGCAGUCCUGACUCGCCCGAUGUUAUUUGUGUCUGUCUCCUUGUUUCAAGAUCUCAGGUAACCAUUCAUGAGCCUGAGGCUGUGAGAAAUGCUCGCUGUGCAAAGGGGAACUCUCACCAGAUUUUCUGAAACUGUUCUAGAAAUACACUUUUCGGAUUGAUUCAGCAUUACCAGCUUAUCCAACAAAAGUAUUAACAUAUACAUUAACAACGUCGAAAGUAGCCUACUUUAAGAGAAAAUAUGCAGAAGAAGAAGAUUUACAUCAAGAUUACCAUGGGUAUUUUCCAAAACACCUGAUAUUACCUGAGGACAGAACUUGCAUUCUCAAACUUUCUCUGGAGAAGCUCAGGUUUCUUGAAGACCCAGAAACCUACUUAAGAAGGUCUGUGUUAAUUAACAAUUUGCUGAGGAAGAUACAUCUAGAGACGGAGAAAGAGAGCUAUGAAUACUUUAAAGAAGCUCCCUGUUAUAAGACUGCAUAUUCUGAUACAAGAAAACGGCUGAAGUUUAUGGUACAGGAAUGCUGUUCUCAGUCUCUCUAUUAUGAAGAGCUGCAUUCGUAUCAUAUUGUGCCUUAUGCUUCGGAGAAUGCCAUUUAUGAAAUGGGCUACACUAGCAGCCACUUGGAGCAAAAUUCUCAGUUGCUUAUUUAUAAAAUGAAUUAAAGUAACUGUUAAGUCCAUUGAUACUUUGUUUCUAAA
rnacentral:lncRNA from 1 species